rnacentral:tRNA from 1 species
GGAGAGGUGUCCGAGAGGCCGAAGGAGCACGACUGGAAAUCGUGUACUGGCAACCCCAGUCGAGGGUUCAAAUCCCUCCCUCUCCGCCA